GCAAUUCUAAAUUUAGUAUGCCUCAUUGCUUUACGUAAAUUACCAUCAUGCAAAAUAAACCAGAUUUAUGGUAAUAGGCAGUAGACACUAUUAAAAGUGAUCUUAAUAACUCUGCUUAAUCAAUGGGCAUCAUCAAAUCAACUAUCAUUUAAUUGUUCUAAAACUAAAUUUAUGAUUUUCUCCCACAAGCCUCAAUUUAUACUUUUGAUCACCUUCCCCUUCACCUAAAAGAUUCUCUAAUUGAACGUGUGCUUUAAUUUAAAUACCUGGGACUACAUUUCACAUGCAAUCUUUCAUGGAAUCUUCAUAUCUCUUCAGUAAAAAAGGCCCAUAAAGUCAAGGGCGUAAGGAGAAAAAAAGGAAGGGAUAGGCUACGAGUAGAAAAGGGCGCGAAGCGCGCCGCCGAUUUGGCCACGCCCACUUUUACGGCCACGAAAUGGGCACAUUCUCGCAAUAUGAAGUUUCCUUUACUCUAAUAUCUAUGGUUCUCGCAACUGCUUCACACUCAGACUCAGAUGAGGACUCAGGCAAGACUCAAGGUAGCAGCACAAUCAACAAAAUCAUCAUUCACAAGAUUAUCAUCUUCAAUCUCCUCAUGCUCAUCUUCAGUACAAAUAGUCUAUAUGGGGGUUGACUACUAAUAUACUCAACUAAAUUUUGCAUAAAAAAUGACAAAGCUUUUGUUUCUUUGCAGCUGACAUUGUGUUGGCUUCACUUAAAGUUAACUUUUUAUAAUUUUAUUAAGCUAGCUAAUUAAUUAAGUUAAUUAUGUAAAGACUCCACCUUAAUAAAUUAUAAUAAUUGUGCUAAAAUGGCUGUUUUUCUUUUCUUUCUCCUGUCUCUGUUUGCCUGUGUCAAAAGUGACUGAGUGAGUAACUGCCAGUUGAGACAGCUGCCCUAAACUUCUAUAAUCUUUGAUCAUAAGUGACUAAGGCAGAAACUCAAUAUAGGCUAUAGCCUACCAUAGCCUUAUGCUAGCUACGCCCUUG